CGCCAAAUCAAGAAGGUGUUAUCUGCUGUCUGCCCUCAGCAGGAGUGGUUCCUGAUCGACAGAUGGCGCUGUAUGCCUAUGCAGCAUUAAACCCUGAAAGGUUCGGCGGGACACUACACACAGACGGCUUAAGAAAUAGAUGGGCAGACAGUCGAAAACAAUAUUCAUACAAACAAGAUCAAGUAAUGUAAUGCAUUUGACCAAUUUACAAAUGUUUGUAUUAGUAUGGGAAGUUAGUUAUAAUUAACAGCCUAAGCAGCCUUUCAAGAAAUUAAAAAAAGAGUUUAGUCGUGUUAGACGCCAUAUUUAAUUUUUCGUGAUUGAUAACGAGGCCGUGGGGGAAACAUACACUGUGUGUUCGUCUAUCUGCUGGAGUUGCACAUGUUUUCUAGGUAAUGUGUACUCGGAAAAUAGUAUGCAAAUGAAGAAUCGCAGCUUUGGCAGUACAGUAAUGUGGCCUUUUGCAGUUAUUUGUGUUUGUGUUCCACACCUUUCUGCAACUGCAUUUUGGAACAAACAGGUAUUUAUGGUUCAUAUUAACCCAAUGUGCACCACAGUGUUUGUACCCUGGGAAAGGCCCAUCUCCCCAAGGGCUUGCUGGGCCAAUCUGGUGGUGUUGUUCCUAACCCUGGGAAUCCUUGUCCACAUUGUGCACACAGGGAGAAAGGUAAUCCGGACGGAUGGUCUCCAUGAAUCACCGCCACAUUAAGAGUUUCAGCCCUCUCAUUAUCCUGCACCACAUUCCCCCCAGGGGGCCGGUACUGUGCCUGAGCCUCACCACAUACAGCCGCUCAUUACCAAUCUGCCAACCGAGGCCUGGCUUGGCCAGAGUUCCUUGCCUUGCACAGGUAAGGGGCCUGGUUCCUUUCUCCACCUCCAUACAACAUCCACAGACUCAAGGGUGAACAGAAACAGCAUGCCUUUCAAAGAGGCGCUGCAGGUGUCACCAUCCCAGAAUCCACCAGCAGAACCCCUCCCCUCAUAUUUCCUGUCAAGAAACACAGAGGCUGAUGGGAGAGCAUGGAAUAAUGGUGCGCUCACAGAGGGGAUUCUCCACAGGUGCAGGACCACGAGGUCACAGAAUGUGUAGCAAGUGACCACCAAUUGAUGCCCCUCCCAAACAAGCAGAGAGCAACAGGGAUCUGACCCAUGGGCUUUGUCCCUGCUCCAUGUCAUUGUGGGAAAGAAAGAUGAUGAUAUUGAAUGACUACAAGGAGGAAACCACAUAUUUGCAGCCCAAGCAAACAAGCAUCACACUAAAGCAAAAGGUGAAAGCGUAAGAACCUAUUUAAAGAAAUAAACAAACACUGUUCUACUGCGAUUCAGUGUCAGAGAUAUUUACUCCCAC
ensembl:lncRNA